rnacentral:rRNA from 1 species
UACGUAGGGGGCUAGCGUUGUCCGGAAUCAUUGGGCGUAAAGCGCACGUAGGCGGGUUGUUAAGUCAGGGGUGAAAUCCCGGAGCUCAACUCCGGAACUGCCUUUGAUACUGGCAAUCUAGAGACUGGAAGAGGUUAGUGGAAUUCCCAGUGUAGAGGUGAAAUUCGUAGAUAUUGGGAAGAACACCAGUGGCGAAGGCGGCUAACUGGUCCAGUACUGACGCUGAGGUGACGAAAGCGUGGGGAGCAAACAGG